rnacentral:rRNA from 2 species
AGUCGAACGCACUCUCGUUUAGAUUGAAGGAGCUUGCUCCUGAUUGAUAAACAUUUGAGUGAGUGGCGGACGGGUGAGUAACACGUGGGUAACCUGCCCUAAAGUGGGGGAUAACAUUUGGAAACAGAUGCUAAUACCGCAUAAAACCUAACACCGCAUGGUGUAGGGUUGAAAGAUGGUUUCGGCUAUCACUUUAGGAUGGACCCGCGGUGCAUUAGUUAGUUGGUGAGGUAAAGGCUCACCAAGACCGUGAUGCAUAGCCGACCUGAGAGGGUAAUCGGCCACACUGGGACUGAGACACGGCCCAGACUCCUACGGGAGGCAGCAGUAGGGAAUCUUCCACAAUGGACGAAAGUCUGAUGGAGCAACGCCGCGUGAGUGAAGAAGGUUUUCGGAUCGUAAAACUCUGUUGUUGGAGAAGAAUGUAUCUGAUAGUAACUGAUCAGGUAGUGACGGUAUCCAACCAGAAAGCCACGGCUAACUACGUGCCAGCAGCCGCGGUAAUACGUAGGUGGCAAGCGUUGUCCGGAUUUAUUGGGCGUAAAGCGAGCGCAGGCGGUUUCUUAAGUCUGAUGUGAAAGCCUUCGGCUCAACCGAAGAAGUGCAUCGGAAACUGGGAAACUUGAGUGCAGAAGAGGACAGUGGAACUCCAUGUGUAGCGGUGAAAUGCGUAGAUAUAUGGAAGAACACCAGUGGCGAAGGCGGCUGUCUGGUCUGUAACUGACGCUGAGGCUCGAAAGCAUGGGUAGCAAACAGGAUUAGAUACCCUGGUAGUCCAUGCCGUAAACGAUGAGUGCUAGGUGUUGGAGGGUUUCCGCCCUUCAGUGCCGCAGCUAACGCAUUAAGCACUCCGCCUGGGGAGUACGACCGCAAAGGUUGAAACUCAAAGGAAUUGACGGGGGGCCC